GAUGACUCUUAGCUAAAAUACAAGUUUGACAUUGGAAAGCAGACUCGUUGACACCACUAAAUAAUGCAGGAAACAAAUGCCGUAAAUAUCUAAAUGAGGCAUGACCAAAUCGGCAAUGUAGCAACUAAAUCCAGCAAUGUUGAGAAGUUUCGGCGCUACCACCACGAAGAACACGACUAGUUGCCACAUCAUCUACAUAAUAAAAGCCUUCCUUUUUUAAUACCACAACCAAGGAUCUCCUGAGUCUGGAUAUCAUGUAAUAAGACAAAAGACGGAU
rnacentral:lncRNA from 1 species